rnacentral:rRNA from 1 species
GACGGAGGAUGCAAGCGUUAUCCGGAAUGAUUGGGCGUAAAGCUUCCGCAGGUGGCAGUUCAAGUCUGCUCUCAAAGACCGGGGCUUAACUUCGGAAAGGCAGUGGAAACUGAACAGCUAGAGUAUGGUAGGGGCAGAGGGAAUUCCUGGUGUAGCGGUGAAAUGCGUAGAGAUCAGGAAGAACAUCGGUGGCGAAGGCGCUCUGCUGGACCAUAACUGACACUCAGGGACGAAAGCUAGGGGAGCGAAUGGG